CGAACGCUGUCGGCGUGCUUACCACAUGCACGUCGAACGGAAAGGCCCUGCUUUUGUGGGGUGCUCGAGUGGCGAACGGGUGAGUAACACGUGAGUAACCUGCCCUUGACUUUGGGAUAACUUCAGGAAACUGGGGCUAAUACCGGAUAGGAGCUCCUGCUGCAUGGUGGGGGUUGGAAAGUUUCGGCGGUUGGGGAUGGACUCGCGGCUUAUCCGCUUGUUGGUGGGGUAGUGGCUUACCAAGGCUUUGACGGGUAGCCGGCCUGAGAGGGUGACCGGCCACAUUGGGACUGAGAUACGGCCCAGACUCCUACGGGAGGCAGCAGUGGGGAAUAUUGCACAAUGGGCGGAAGCCUGAUGCAGCAACGCCGCGUGCGGGAUGACGGCCUUCGGGUUGUAAACCGCUUUCGCCUGUGACGAAGCGUGAGUGACGGUAAUGGGUAAAGAAGCACCGGCUAACUACGUG
rnacentral:rRNA from 1 species